rfam:Salmo salar isolate Sally breed double haploid chromosome ssa13, whole genome shotgun sequence.
UUCCCUGUGGCUCAGUUGGUAGAGCAUGGUGUUUGCAACACCAGGGUUGUGGGUUCGAUUCCCAGGGGGGACC